CUCCUAAAAUGAGGAAGUUUUGAACGGUUUUCUGAUUUAAUCUCUCCCACGUCGUCUCCUCCCCACGUUCCUGUAACUUCCAUGUACACUUCCUUUUAAAGCAGACCCGAUUCACCGGUUUAACCUACGGUUCUAGACUACCGUCCUCCCCACCGUCGUCUCUCUCUCCCAAUUGAUUGACCCGUUUAACAUAGGGUUCGAGACUACCGUCCAACACACGUUCAUACAUUCCAAUUCACCAAAAUUUUCCAAUCAAUCGGACAAAUUUCAUUCAAACGAUGCCUCCGAAAACCGCGAAAAAGUUCGUCGGUCCAGGAAGAAGAGGCGGCAGAAACAGAGGAGCGGCGGCAAAGGUAGCGGCGGCGCAACCUGAUCCGCCGGUAGCACCAAGCCGUCGAUUCACCGUUCUAUGGUUUAAAACAGAGAAAUUAGGGAUCAAGAUGGAGCCAACAAAAAUAGUAGAUGGAAGUUCGUUAAGCAUGGUUAAUGUUGGAUUGGGGAUGAAACAUUUCGAUCUUAAUUAAGUGGGAGAAGCAGAGUUGCUACUGUUCAUAACCAGUUUGAGCAGGCAAGUUGUUUGUAAGUUUGUAAUAAAGAGGUACUAAAUUGAAAAUUUUAAAUGUGAUCUUAUAUGAUAUAUCAUUACUCUAGAGAUCAAUGAACUGUAAGUCUAUAACCCUUGCAUUUCUUCUAUGAUAUAUCAUUAUUCUAGAGAUCACAGGUCAGUUCAAUCAAUUGUUCACACACCAGAUGGUGGUGGUUUUGUGAUUGGAAAUACAGAUCAUGGUGUUAACUUUUGGAUGUAUCCAACAAUAGAGGUUUGAGGAUUCUGGUCAGGCGUGUAUAUAAUUUGAAACCACAAAAUUUAGCGGUUUUUUUAACUUUAGAGUUAUAUUAUUUGAUCAUUUUAGCACAUGGCUUUAUGUUUUUGAUUCUUAGGAUUUGGUGCAUUUAACAGUGUCAAAUUUGAGAACUUUACCAAUGAAUGAUGAUGUUGUAGUGGUGGCAAUAAGUCCUGAUGGAAGGAUAACUGUGGCUGCUCUAAUGGAUUGCACUGUCAAGGUCUACUACAUGGACACUUUAAAAGUUUUUCUUGCACGUACCAAUUGAUGAUGUUUCAGUUGUUGACUUGAGUGUAAGGCUUGAAAAGAAGGCUACCUAUGAACAAAUUAAAGCUGCAAUCAAGGAGGAAUCAGAAGGAAAGCUUAGGGGAUUUUGGGAUAUACUGAAGAUGAUCUUGUAUUCACAUACUUUGUGAGUGACACCAGGUAAGUUUGUGAACAUAUUUAAUCUCUCAAAAGUCUUUUCAAAUUGGACCCAAAUCAUGUGUCGUGAAUGGGGAUGCAGGUACGUGUAUGAUUAUAUGAUAUAUCGACCCUGAUAUCUUUCCACAUCUAUAAAAUUCAUGCUCUCAUUGAUAUUAGUUUUUUUCUUUACAGCUUUCGCGUUAUUGAUUUAAUUUGCCACAUUGCAUCGGUGCAAGCCUAAAUCUUAUAUGGCCGGUUUCAUUUGCUUCUUUUGUUUUUCUGCUCAUGUUUUGAGAACUCCAUUGCGAAGUCGAUGACGGGUUUCAGUGGUUAAGAACAGUUGGUUAAGGGGAUGGGACGUAAUAAGGGAUUUCUAUCUACAAGGAUGCACUUGCAAAAACCAUUCUGGGACUGCCCUUUUCGACGGUUCCCAUUGCAGGUGAAUAUGCUUGGAGGGUACUAAUCUACUAUGAUGCAGGUGCCAAUGUGAAGUUUAACUUCUCAGUGGCGUACACAACAACUAUGUUGGCAUGGAGUGUAUUGGAGAACUUGAAGUCGUUGGGCCCGCUACCAGAGAAUGUACGAGUGGCGAUCAGGUGGGAGACUGACUACGUCAUCAAGCGCGCUAUAGGAACCCCAUGUGCUUUAUGUGGGUGUUAGGAGAGACCCGAGGACGUGCACAUCAUUUGAACCGUCUACUCUGCCUCCAGAAGAAAACCAAGGUCUAAUUUAGUUGGCGAAAUAGGAGAAAUAGGAGCCGUAUUAGCGGCUUCUUCCUUGGUGUUUCGGAAAGUGGAUUCUAAUACUCUAAAUUGUUGUUAAGAACAACGAAGUCUGUUUCCCAAUUUGCUACACAGUACAAGGGUGCUUAUAGUGUAAGUUUUUUUUUAAUUUAUUGUUCUUAUUUAGGAUAUAAGGUAAUAUUUUAUGUAUAAUUAACUGGUUUUGUGGACCUUUUACUGGUAGGUAUAUUAUUCUUAUGAUAUAUAUUCUAAAUAGGAAUUUAAUUUUGAAGUUA